rnacentral:rRNA from 1 species
UACGUAGGGGCGAGCGUUGUCCGGAGUUACUGGGCGUAAAGCGCACGCAGGCGGUCUGCUAAGUUUGGAGUGACAGUUGGUGGCUUAACUGCCAAAGUGCUUCGAAACUGACAGACUUGAGGGCUUCAGAGGGACACGGAAUUCCGGGUGGAGUGGUGAAAUGCGUAGAGAUCCGGAGGAACACCAAAGGCGAAGGCAGUGUCCUGGGGAGUACCUGACGCUCAGGUGCGAAAGCCAGGGGAGCGAACGGG